rnacentral:rRNA from 1 species
GCGGACGGGUGAGUAAUGUCUGGGAAACUGCCUGAUGGAGGGGGAUAACUACUGGAAACGGUAGCUAAUACCGCAUAACGUCGCAAGACCAAAGAGGGGGACCUUCGGGCCUCUUGCCAUCGGAUGUGCCCAGAUGGGAUUAGCUAGUAGGUGAGGUAACGGCUCACCUAGGCGACGAUCCCUAGCUGGUCUGAGAGGAUGACCAGCCACACUGGAACUGAGACACGGUCCAGACUCCUACGGGAGGCAGCAUG